GCCCCAGUAGCUCAGAUGGACAGAGCAGAGGUUUCCUAAACCUUGUGCCGGUGGUUCGACUCCGCCCUGGGGCACCA
rnacentral:tRNA from 1 species